AAUUUCCGAAUUACAUUGUAGUAUUACAUAGUUUUAUAUGUGUAAAUGACGUUAAUCAUUAUGAAUUAAUUUUUGUUUCUAUCUUUUCACGAAAAUACCAGCUCUAACCGUCACGUAUAUUGACUUAGAUAGCUAGCCAGUGAGCUAACAUGUGAGAGGUUGUGUUUAUUGGACUGGCAGGUAUGUUUCAUACAUGACAAAAAACAAAUAAUCUUGAAUUUCUCGAAAGGAAAGGUGUAGAAUAUAAUAACGUUGUUUAAAUUAGCUGUUUACAUUUGCGGCUUUUGCAAACGGGUUAACGUUAAAGCUAAAGUUUAGCAUGUCCUCUGUCAACCCCUGUGAGCACUACAAGACCCAGUAGAUAUCAGCAGGACAUACAGCAGAAUAAGAACAAAAUGUCUGCGUGUAAAAGGUUGCUAUACUUUGUGAAGCACAGAAGCUUGUGGACACAUGUUCGGAGAAAUGUCACAACAUGGUCACCUGUUGGAGCUGCUUUCAAUGCCAAAUCUGUCAGGAGACCGGACCUCUUCGAGAAAAGCGUGGGUUUGUUUGGUGUGCCAGAGCUGAGCUGUCCUGCAGGCUUCCAGGCAGCCACAAAGGCAGCUCUCAAAAACACUGAGCUCCUGGUGCAAAGAGCUUGUUCUUGUCCUUCAGGGGUUGAGACUGUUGAUUCUUUUGACCAGCUCUCAGAUGGUUUGUGUAAAGUGGCUGAUCUGGCAGAUUUUGUAAAAGUAGCUCAUCCAGAUGCAGCGUUCCGCGAGGCUGCCGAGAAGACCUGUAUAGAGAUUGGCACAGUUGUGGAGAAGCUGAAUACUAAUGUUGAGUUAUGCAAGAGCCUAAAAAAUUUGUUGGGCAACCCAGAUAUUGUGGCUCAGCUGGACCCUGACACAAGACGAGUAGCAGAGUUGUUCAUGUUCGACUUUGAAAUCAGUGGAAUUCAUCUGGAUGACAAACUGAGGAAAGAGGCAGUUGCCCUGCACGUGAAUCUGUUGGAUCUAAACAAUGAGUUUUUGGUCAGUUCCCACAUGCCCAACAGAAUUGCAAGGUCUGCAAUUCCUGAACAUCUCCACCUGCACUUUGCAAGUGAAGGAAGCUUCAUUCAAGUUGGGGGAUUGCAUGCAGACUCCCCUGAUGACUUGGUGCGAGAGAUUGCCUACAGGAUUUAUCUCUAUCCCAAUGCAGAUCUGAUGGGGUGUCUGGAAGAGCUGCUGAAAUGCAGAUACAAACUGGCCAAACUGGUGGGCUACGAGUCCUAUGGUCACAGAGCCCUAAAGGGAACGAUGGCCAAAACACCAGAGACGGUGAUGAGCUUUCUUCAGUUGUUAACAGACAAGCUGUCAGACAGAACAGCGAAAGACUUCAAGAUGAUGGGGGACAUGAAGAAGAAACUCAACCCUCGUAAUUCUGAGCUCAUGCCCUGGGAUCAUCCGUUCCUCAGUGGUGUCUUGCGUGCUGAAAGGUACAACAUAGAGCCCAGUCUGUACAGUCCCUACCUGUCUCUGGGCGCCUGUAUGGAGGGUUUGAACAACCUCUUCUCUCAGCUGUAUGGUGUCUCCCUCAUGUCUGAACAUCCCAGCGCUGGUGAGGUGUGGAGCGAGGAUGUCCGCAAGCUGGCUGUCGUACAUGAAACAGAGGGAUUACUGGGAUAUAUCUACUGUGACUUUUUCCACCGGUCAGAUAAACCUCAUCAGGACUGUCACUUCACUAUCCGCGGCGGCCGUUGGUGCCAGGAAACAGGUCAGUACCAGCUGCCAGUUGUGGUGCUGAUGCUGAGUCUGCCCCACGCCACCAAGAGCGCCCCCACCCUGCUCACUCCAGGCAUGAUGGAGAACCUCUUCCAUGAGAUGGGACACGCCAUGCACUCCAUGCUGGGACGCACUCGCUACCAGCAUGUCACAGGAACCAGAUGUGCAACCGACUUUGCUGAAGUCCCCUCCAUCCUCAUGGAGUACUUUGCAACUGACUAUCGAGUCAUCAGUCAGUUUGCACGCCAUUAUGAAACUGGACAGCCUCUGCCUGAGAGUAUGGUGGCUCGGCUAUGUGAGUCGAAGAAAGUGUGCGGAGCUGCCGACACCCAGCUGCAGAUUUUCUAUGCAGUCUUGGACCAGAUCUACCACAGCAAACCUCAGAACCGCUCCACCACAGAAAUUCUGAAGGAGAUGCAGCAGAAAUUCUACGGCUUGCCUUAUACCCCCAAUACGGCAUGGCAGCUGAGAUUCAGCCACCUGAUUGGCUAUGGGGCCAAGUAUUACUCCUACCUCAUGUCCCGGGCUGUGGCCUCAAUGGUGUGGAGACAGUGCUUUGUUCAGGAUCCUUUAAACAGAGAAAUGGGUGAACGUUAUCGUCGGGAGAUGCUGGCCCAUGGAGGAGCCAAGGAGCCCAUGCUGAUGGUGGAAGGGAUGCUACAGAGACGACCCACAAUUGAGGACUUUGUUGACGCGCUGGUGUCUGAGCUCAACCCUAACUUUGAGACUUUCAUCAUGGACUCUGAAAGCUGAAAGAAGAUGUGUCUCUGGUGGCGUGGACAUGGACUUGAAUCUUUGCUGCUGAGCCAAGAGAUGCCCCAGAACAUGCAGCCUGCUCGACAGAACGGCUGUUUGCAUCUGUUUCAGUACAUUCAGACAGUAAUUAUCAGCUGAGCUGGGACUGCAGCUGCUCCCCGAGACAAUGUCCUUGCUUGCCCUUGCUCGGAUCUGAGACCCAAGGCAGGGAGCGCGGAGCAGUUUCACAUGGUUAUUGAAGGUGUGAACACACUGUCACUGAACGAGCUGGGUGACUUUAACCACACAGAGGCUGCAACAUCGCAGUUUGUCUAAUUGUCUGGAUAUGAGGCUGCACUUUAGUUGAAACAAUCUAAAUGUUAGUAAAGGGAUUCAUUAUACUUAAAGGGGCACUCCAAUAAUUUGACACGUCAGUUAACUUCUACUCAGCCUGUGAAAACUGUUGUAUAAUGUCUUCUGUGGCUUUGCCAGUCUCAUUCUCUUAUUAUUUUCUUUAUUAAUUUUGAUCAUUUUUACAGAAUAAUCAAUUGUUUGCCUAUAAAAUGUAAAAUAAUAUAGGGAAGAAUUCCUGUCACAGUUUGACAUCCACAAAAUGUUUGUUUUGUCUGACCUCCACUCAAUAACUCAGACACUGGUCAA